AACCGUAAGCCAGCUCGUUUGUCUGCUCGAAGGUUAGUGCCCCACCACUCCCAAAAGAAACAUAAACCACUGACUCUUUGGGUUGUAAGUCAAGCCAGUCCAGCACGCCAUGUUUCAAACCUGGUUCUGCUGGUCUAACCAGCGGUCCAACAGGAUAAACCGGCACUCCUCUCAUAACCCGACCGAGAUUCUCUGGAUCCAAGAAAGACCCGAUGGUCACUUGCUCCAGACUGUGCCACGUAUUCACAAACACCCCAUCUGCGGUUAUCACCUCAUCCCCAAUACGCUGAGACUCAGCGAGUUCCCGAAUAUAUUUUCUCGGAUCUUGAGCCCGCUCAAACUUAACCGGGCUGCAUCCGGGUAUAAGCAAUGCUCCUAUGCUACUCAACUGCUUAUACAACUCCUGUUUGUCAAGACUCGCCAUAUAAACCGUAAAAGCUAGAAACCAAGCACUGGUAGUAACCAGAACAUGUUUUCUCAUGAUCCCAAGCUCCUUAGCCACCUCUAAAGCUUCCGUGCCCAACAAGUCAACUACGAAAACCCUAGGCCGCGGUUCUAACUCCAUGACUGAAGACUUGAUCUCUGGUAAUGCCUUCCUCAUCAUCUCUGCUAGUUUAGUC